rnacentral:rRNA from 1 species
CAGUCGCCACGGGAAUACGAAGGGGGCUAGCGUUGCUCGGAAUGACUGGGCGUAAAGGGCGCGUAGGCGGCGAUCAAAGUCAGGCGUGAAAUUCCUGGGCUCAACCUGGGGGCUGCGCUUGAUACUUGGUUGCUUGAGUGGGGAAGAGGGUCGUGGAAUUCCCAGUGUAGAGGUGAAAUUCGUAGAUAUUGGGAAGAACACCGGUGGCGAAGGCGGCGACCUGGUUCAUGACUGACGCUGAGGCGCGAAAGCGUGGGGAGCAAACAGGAUUAGAUACCCGCGUAGUCCCUGUCUCUUAUAC